CCGAACUACAUUUCCCAGAGUGCAUAUGCACAGUUUUUCUGGAGCGUGGAGCGUGGAGUGUCUCGGACGCCAGGCGGCCCUGGGCUACAUUGUCCCAGAAUGCAAUAGAGAUGUCUAUUUAGGACAAAAUAUUUGAAAUUAGAUCUCCAAAAUGAAAGGGUCGCCGAAGAAGCGGGGACACACGGACGUUCAAGCAAGCUUUAUUGGGGCGGCAGUCUGCAGCCUGCCGGGCUGACUCACAGAAUGGAGACCAGCAACUGCAUGGGCUGAGCUGGAAGCUUAUAUAGGGAUCUUGCAGGCAGCGGCACCACUGAGCUAAACCACCGGCCCAAAGGAUGCAGCAACAAGGCACCAUCACAGAAGCAGAAAGCAGCCCUUACCAGACACACAACCAGCCAGAGCCUUCAUUUUGAACUCCCCCACCUCCAGUACAGCGAUAAAUAAAUUUCUAUUGUUUAUAAAUUA